rnacentral:rRNA from 1 species
UAGAGUUUGAUCAUGGCUCAGAUUGAACGCUGGCGGCAUGCCUUACACAUGCAAGUCGAACGGCAGCAUAGGAGCUUGCUCCUGAUGGCGAGUGGCGAACGGGUGAGUAAUAUAUCGGAACGUGCCCUGGAGUGGGGGAUAACUAGUCGAAAGAUUAGCUAAUACCGCAUACGAUCUAAGGAUGAAAGUGGGGGAUCGCAAGACCUCAUGCUCGUGGAGCGGCCGAUAUCUGAUUAGCUAGUUGGUAGGGUAAAAGCCUACCAAGGCAUCGAUCAGUAGCUGGUCUGAGAGGACGACCAGCCACACUGGAACUGAGACACGGUCCAGACUCCUACGGGAGGCAGCAGUGGGGAAUUUUGGACAAUGGGCGCAAGCCUGAUCCAGCAAUGCCGCGUGAGUGAAGAAGGCCUUCGGGUUGUAAAGCUCUUUUGUUAGGGAAGAAACGGUGAGAGCUAAUAUCUUUUGCUAAUGACGGUACCUGAAGAAUAAGCACCGGCUAACUACGUGCCAGCAGCCGCGGUAAUACGUAGGGUGCAAGCGUUAAUCGGAAUUACUGGGCGUAAAGCGUGCGCAGGCGGUUAUGUAAGUCAGAUGUGAAAUCCCCGGGCUCAACCUGGGAAUGGCAUUUGAGACUGCAUGGCUAGAGUGUGUCAGAGGGGGGUAGAAUUCCACGUGUAGCAGUGAAAUGCGUAGAGAUGUGGAGGAAUACCGAUGGCGAAGGCAGCCCCCUGGGAUAACACUGACGCUCAUGCACGAAAGCGUGGGGAGCAAACAGGAUUAGAUACCCUGGUAGUCCACGCCCUAAACGAUGUCUACUAGUUGUCGGGACUUAAUUGUCUUGGUAACGCAGCUAACGCGUGAAGUAGACCGCCUGGGGAGUACGGUCGCAAGAUUAAAACUCAAAGGAAUUGACGGGGACCCGCACAAGCGGUGGAUGAUGUGGAUUAAUUCGAUGCAACGCGAAAAACCUUACCUACCCUUGACAUGUCUGGAAUCCCUGAGAGAUUAGGGAGUGCUCGAAAGAGAAUCAGAACACAGGUGCUGCAUGGCUGUCGUCAGCUCGUGUCGUGAGAUGUUGGGUUAAGUCCCGCAACGAGCGCAACCCUUGUCAUUAGUUGCUACAUUUAGUUGAGCACUCUAAUGAGACUGCCGGUGACAAACCGGAGGAAGGUGGGGAUGACGUCAAGUCCUCAUGGCCCUUAUGGGUAGGGCUUCACACGUCAUACAAUGGUACAUACAGAGGGUCGCCAACCCGCGAGGGGGAGCUAAUCCCAGAAAGUGUAUCGUAGUCCGGAUUGUAGUCUGCAACUCGACUACAUGAAGUUGGAAUCGCUAGUAAUCGCGGAUCAGCAUGUCGCGGUGAAUACGUUCCCGGGUCUUGUACACACCGCCCGUCACACCAUGGGAGUGGGUUUCACCAGAAGUAGGUAGCCUAACCGCAAGGAGGGCGCUUACCACGGUGGGAUUCAUGACUGGGGUGAAGUCGUAACAAGGUACCCU